rnacentral:rRNA from 1 species
UACAGAGGGUGCAAGCGUUAAUCGGAAUUACUGGGCGUAAAGGGUGCGUAGGUGGUUUUUUAAGUCAGAUGUGAAAAUCCUGGGCUUAACCUGGGACCUGCAUUUGAAACUGGAGAGCUAGAGUUUGGAAGAGGGAAGUGGAAUUUCCGGUGUAGCGGUGAAAUGCGUAGAUAUCGGAAGGAACACCAGUGGCGAAGGCGACUUCCUGGUCCGACACUGACACUGAGGCACGAAAGCGUGGGGAGCAAACAGG